UACGAAGGGGGCUAGCGUUGCUCGGAAUUACUGGGCGUAAAGGGCGCGUAGGCGGGUCGUUAAGUUAGAGGUGAAAGCCCGGGGCUCAACCCCGGAAUUGCCUUUGAGACUGCAUCGCUAGAAUUGUGGAGAGGUAAGUGGAAUUCCGAGUGUAGAGGUGAAAUUCGUAGAUAUUCGGAAGAACACCAGUGGCGAAGGCGACUUACUGGACACAUAUUGACGCUGAGGUGCGAAAGCGUGGGGAGCAAACAGG
rnacentral:rRNA from 1 species